ensembl:snRNA
ACCAUCCUUUUCUUGGGAUCGCAGUACUGUCCAACGAGCUUAUAGCAGAGGCAGUACUGCUAACACCUGCACAGCACACCCCCAUCAACUACAGGUUGGCUUUACUUUGGUGAAAUUUUUAGAAAG